CAACAUAACGCCUGCCAGCAGCGCCCAGUAUGUUUUCGAUCGAAAGGGGAGGGAAUAUCACUUCACACACAGCCACACUGUGGGUAUCUGACGGGUGAAGUUUGUUUCGGAUAGAAACAUAAGAUUCGAUGUGUUGGUUUCAUCGACCCAUCCAAUAUUCUACAAGUCCGCACGAUUUGCAUCGGUAUUUUUUCGUUCUCUCGGUCGACCGUCCGUCAGUCCAUUGCGAUUUCUUCUUGAGUUUGGUUUUGGUGUGUCUCGUCCGUCGUGUGUUUUGUCCGUCGAUCGUCUGUCUGAUCCAGAUCAUCAGUCAGUAGCGCCGCCGUCUCACGCGAAAUUUGUCAUCGCGCGACCCAGUCCCACUAGUCGUCGUCGUCGCCGUGUCGUGUCAGGCGUCAGGGAAUAUUUUUCGUGAUUUCCAUUUUGAUUGGGAAAAUCCUCGAGUGUCGAGUGGGGCGUGUGUUGUGAAAAAUAUAAACGAAAAAAUCUAGUCCUCGCGGCGGCUGGGGAAGGCCCCAGAGAAAACGAAACAAUAAACGUAUGUAGGUACGUGGUGUGUCCAAGAAAGUGAAGAAGAAAAAGGUAAAGUGAAUAUGCAGUGAGAUUUUGUGGAACAAGGUUAAUGCCUUUCGAAUCACACGACUGAAGAAAAACAGUGAAUUGCAGCAAUUACCUACAUGGAAAAGUGAAAAAAAAAGCAGAAGCAGAACCCCCCGAGCCCAGCUGAAUCAAUGCAUCUAGAGACGGUGAUUCCGUCAUUCAGUUGCGAGAACACAAGUAGCGGAGUCUAAUGAACAGGAACAUGAAGCGACAGCUGGAGAAGUUUAAGGAGGAGAUCAAGUCCAACCUGACAAGGU